UAGUCCAUGCCGUAAACGAUGAUUACUAGCUAUUGGCGAUACACUGUCAGUGGCAAAGCGAAAGCAUUAAGUAAUCCACCUGGGAAGUACGGUCGCAAGAUUGAAACUCAAAGGAAUUGACGGGGGCCCGCACAAGCGGUGGAGCAUGUGGUUUAAUUCGAUGAUACGCGAGGAACCUUACCAGGGCUUAAAUGGAGAUUGACAGGACUGGAAACAGUUUUUUCUUCGGACAAUUUUCAAGGUGCUGCAUGGUUGUCGUCAGCUCGUGCUGUGAAGUGUCGGGUUAAGUCCCAUAACGAGCGCAACCCCUAUCUUUAGUUGCCAGCGAGUAAUGUCGGGGACUCUAGAGAAACUGCCCGUGCAGACGGUAAGGAAGGUGGGGAUGACGUCAAGUCCUCAUGGCCCUUACGGGUAGGGCUACACACGUACUACAAUGGCAGAAACAAACCGAAGCGAUAUUGCGAGAUGGAGCUAAACGGUAAAACACUAGUCUCAGUCCGGAUUGAAGUCUGCAACUCGUA
rnacentral:rRNA from 1 species